rnacentral:rRNA from 1 species
GUGCUAAGGUAGCAUAAUCAUUUGUUUCUUAAUUGGUAACUGGAAUGAACGGUUGAGCUGGUUUAAUAAGUGUGUCAGUUUAAAUAGAAAAUUAAAGUCAAGGUAAGAAUUCUUUGGUAAUUUAGGGGACGAUAAGACCCUAUAAGCUUAAUAAAGGUAGUCGUGAGUUUGUCUUUUAAGUUAAUUUAUUUUACUGGGGCGGUACUAGUAUUUUAACUAUUAGUUAACUUAAGAUCCUUAAAAUAUAGAUGGAGCGGAAAAGUUACUCUAGGGGUAACAGUGCAAUAUAUUUGGAGAGAUCUUAUCGAUAAAUAUGUUUGCAACCUCGAUGUUGAAUUA